rnacentral:tRNA from 1 species
GGGGAUGUAGCUCAGUUGGGAGAGCGCAGCCUUCGCAAGGCUGAAGUCGAGAGUUCAAAUCUCUUCAUCUCCACCA